AGCAACUCCUAGAAAUGUGAUGAUGAACCCAGUAAGAAGUCCAAUAACAGCAACUACUGCCAAAAUCAAUAGAAACUUGAAUUUAGCGGCUGCAAUCAAAGAAAGAACACCACACCAUAUGACUGAGAGAAUUGAUGUCAUCCUCAUACACAGAAAGGACUCAAUUCCUCUAAGGGCACAAUCCAACCAAACCAUUGAUAACAAAAGCAUUAUAUUUCCAAAAUGCAUGAUCCACCUAAACACUAUAGGGUAUGCUUGCUGACCCUUUUCUUGAACAUAACCAAUUGCAACUAAUAAAUUGCUCUUUAAAGGGUCAAGCAAAGGUUUCCACCUCUCUAACCACUGAAUUGAUACCUUUGAGGCAGACAAAGCCAACGUCAUCAAGUUCCUAAAAACAACCAUCAUAGACACUUUAAAAUUUUCUAAUGUAUUGUCUCCAUCUAGUCCUGUUCCUAAGUGACCAAAACAUCCCUUUGAAUUAUCUGAGUGCUUACUAGAGUUUGGAGAUGUAUCAAUUCCUUUUCCUGACUCAGAAUCCACCCCUCUACUUUUACAAUUUUGGAAAAUUCCUGCAUCAGUGUCUUCUGGCCCUGUUUCCUCUGGAAUCGACAAUGUAUCAAUACCUUCCUUUUCCUUUUUAAGUGAUCUUCUAGAUUUGUUCUUGCUUUUCUUCUUGCCUUCACUUUCAUGUUUAUUGUUUAAGCUCUCUGUUAUAGAUAUGCCAGAAAGGUUACCAUUAAAAGGUUCUUCAGCAUUUUUGCCUUCUGCCUCAGUCAGAUUACUGUUUUCAUUCUCAUUUAACAAUCCAGAUCCAGAAUCUGAAACUCCUUUUCUGUAUUUCUGUCGGUUUCCUUUGCGAGCCAUUGACUAUAUAUGGUAUCAACAAACUCCAGCGACAAGCCAGUUCAACUCAUCUCCAGUGCCUUGUCAUAUAUCAAAAGUCCUUUUCCUGGGGCAAGACGAAGUUGAGAGAUACUAAAAUCUAGACACCAAACCUCUUGAAUUAGGGCUUGAAAACAGGAUAAGGAUCAGGGAAAUUGAAAUUUGAAACUCAUAUGCUGGAUAGAUUCGAACGAAUUCUCAGAGAAAUCAGUCUCACCGCUGGGUCAAGAAGAAGAAGAAGAUGAGGGUCGGUCCAGUCGUUUGUACGUUGUGUGUGUGUGUGUUUGAAA
rnacentral:misc_RNA from 1 species